ACUGUUGCUAUAGAAACAUUUGCAACAUGUCUAGGAAUAAAUUUAAAUUGACAAUUUCGAUAUACGUGUAUCAUGAUGACAAUUUACACACAAUAUACGAAACAUUUUAAAGGUCCAAAGUGGGAUAGCUUUGCCAUAAACGAGUACAAUCGAAAGCUAGCUUAUCGAAUUGGUAGGCGAAGUGUUGAGCAACGGCACGAGUCGUUUGUAUGGGAUACUUCGGAAGACAAUGCUAGAGUAAGUAGCGUUCUCGAAUUUGGCAACAAUAACCUAGAAAACAAGUCCACAACUCAAAGAAAAAAAAGGGGUGUGAACAGAAAUAAAAAUCUGCCGAAACCAGUUGUAAAUAAAAAUAAACUGCGUACAAGACGUGCCUCCAAGAUAGGUCAUACUGGCUUAGAAAUAAACAAGAAUGUUGAGAAGGUUGAGAGUGGCAAGAAAUCUGUUGGCCAAAAUAAUAAUGAUUUUGGACAACAAAAAGAGCAAUCUUGUAGAAGGAAAGCAAAGAAUGGUUUUUCAUGGAAUCAAUCAAAGACGAAGGAUGGAAAAAAGCCAUUUACUUGCCGUUGUUCGGCAAAAAAUUCGUCCUCGGAUAGACAAUUUACGAAUGAAAGACCAAGUGUCAAAACUGAUGCGAAAGAUGUUUAUCCUGCUUCCCUUCGAGCAAUGAAACGACAGCAGCUUGACAUUGCCAGGAGAUUGAAACAAAAUAAGAAAAGCAUGAAACAAAAACAGGAACUUUCAAAAAAAAAAUACUUGGUAAAGUUCUCCCCUGUAUUCAUGACUGAGUACCAAAGAAGUUACUGUAGCAUGGAUCAAUUUUGACCACGCCAAGGAAACUGCUCACUUUCAAUGUUGUGGCAAGAUUUAAAGUGUUUGUAAUAUGUCUCUUUUAACUGUCUGCUGAUAUCAUUCACUUUAGUACCUACAUAACUAGAUUCAUAGGUCAAAGAGUGAGAAUAAUUACUGCUGAAUGCAAAAUUUGAGCUUCAGUUGAUUUCAAAAAUAGCAAUGAAAACUAGAAAAACUAGAACACUAAAAUAACGAAAAACUAGGUACACAACGCGUACAUGUGGGUAGCCUGCUAAUAAAAUAAAGUUAAUGAAUCAUAAAUGAACAUAGUUUCAAUAAUAUUACAUAUUUAAUAGAAAUACACAAACACAAGUAGAAGCACAUGAACACAAAUAAAAGUACACGAACACAAAUAGAAGUACACGAACACAAAUAGAAGUACACAAAUACAAAUAGAAGUA